rnacentral:rRNA from 1 species
AGGGAAUCUUCCGCAAUGGACGAAAGUCUGACGGAGCAACGCCGCGUGAGUGAUGAAGGUUUUCGGAUCGUAAAGCUCUGUUGUUAGGGAAGAACAAGUACCGUUCGAAUAGGGCGGUACCUUGACGGUACCUAACCAGAAAGCCACGGCUAACUACGUGCCAGCAGCCGCGGUAAUACGUAGGUGGCAAGCGUUGUCCGGAAUUAUUGGGCGUAAAGGGCUCGCAGGCGGUUUCUUAAGUCUGAUGUGAAAGCCCCCGGCUCAACCGGGGAGGGUCAUUGGAAACUGGGGAACUUGAGUGCAGAAGAGGAGAGUGGAAUUCCACGUGUAGCGGUGAAAUGCGUAGAGAUGUGGAGGAACACCAGUGGCGAAGGCGACUCUCUGGUCUGUAACUGACGCUGAGGAGCGAAAGCGUGGGGAGCGAAC